UAGCUCCCCUUUAGCCAGUCUUCACCUAGUGACCUUCAAAUGGGGAUGUAGAACUCUCCGUUCCUCCUGCACCGUGCCUGCCUGGACACUGCCAAGCUCCUGCCUUGAUGAUACUGGACUGAACCUCUGAACCUGAUGCUGCUAGCUGCCAGAGUGAUUGGUGAGACAUGCAGAUGCUGGGACAAAGAAUGAAGCAGACCUGUGAGCUUGCUCAGUGCCCUGACAAUGGAGACAGGAAAGUUGUUUUGGACAUAUGUUCCUGACCCACCUUUGCUUGCCUAUAUCCCAGAUUGGACAAGCUUCCUUGCUUCAAGCUUUUAGACUUUGUGGGACAGAAAACAUGGAGACUGGAAACCGACUUUAAAAACUUAAUAAAAAAGAGAAGGUAUGAUGACUCUUCUCUUCCCUUUUAUGUGACCAGUUAUUCUGACUCAAUCAUGGACUGCUCUAUAAAUCAAUCCAAUACUGGAAAUAACAGUCUUCAUUUGGAAGGCUGGUUCUGGACGUUUUUAGAGACAUACUUGAAAGUUAGCUGCAGUUCUCUGAUGCUAUGUUAGCAAUAGAUUGGGACAGGAUCUAGUUUUCAAAGAAAUAUUAGUGCUUAGCUCCUGAUCGUUUAUUAAUUGGUCAUGUUGAAAUUACUUUGUUUCUUCCACAGUAUUUAAUGUAAGUUGUAUUGAUUAUGCACUUUCUAAUUGUGUUAGUGUGUUGAAACCUGGCAUGUCUGUUAUGGUGGUCUAUCAACCAGUUUUUGUUUUAUUGCCUGUGAAUAUUACAGGGCCUUGGUAUCCUGAAAAAAGCUUGCAGGUACUGGAAGAAGUGAGUCGGGCUCUAAGCAGAAACAAGAGGAUAGUGGGCUUCAUUAUUGCUGGUAUAGCAGCUUUAAUUAAGCUAGUAGCUAGUACCACUGCUGCAAUUGCUUUGACACAAGACGUUUAGAUAGCUACUUUUGUUAAUCAUUUAGCAAAAAAUGUUACUAAUGUCCUGAGUAUUCAAGAGGAUUUAGACAGGCAUUGGAAACAAUGGAUUGAUGUUCUUUAUGAUGCUAUUCAAAUUAUUAGAUAGGAGGUUCAGUGCUUAAGAGUAGGAAAUCAUCUUGAUUAUCAUGCUAAAUGGAUUUAUGUUCCUUCUAAAAUUUACAAUGAUAGUCACUAUAAUUGGCAGAAGGUUCAAAGACACUUGUAGGGUGUUUGGCAUAUAAGUCCAACACCUCUCUGGAUAUUUUAACUUUGAAUAGUGAGAUUAUGAAUUUAAGGAAUGCUGCUCUGCUGAGCUUUGAUGUUACAGAUAUUGCUGGUAGAAUUAUUCAUGGCCUGAGGUCAGUAUUUCCAUCUUGGUCAAGCUUCAAGAAUGACAUAUAUGGCUUGAUCAUGCUAGCCCUUCUUGUGCUAGGAAUACUUUUAUUCCUGCCCAUAGUGUUAAAGCUUGCCUUUUACAACAUCAACAUGUUAGUGGUCCAAGUACAUGGCUUGAAACUAAGAAUGAAUCCCCAAACAGAGUUAUUAAUUUAACAGGCUGGCAAGCCAAGGGAGGGUAAGAUUCUGCACAAGGGCCUUGCCAACCUAAGACAAAGGCAUGUGCCAACAGGCCAUGUUUGUUUAUAGCGAACACUAAAAGGCCAUGUUUGUUCAUAUAAUACAAACAAGCUGCACAUGUCUUGAAGAUGGGUACAGAAGUCAUUCUUGUCAGGACAACCUAAGACAGGCUCAGCCUUAUUUAUUAAAUUUAAAGAGGGGAGCUGUGAAGAGCCUUUUUGGGGUGCCACUUGGCAGGAGUCUGACACUGGCCAAGGACAAGAAAAUGGGCUUCAGACAGGAAUAUGACCUUGGCUAUGACAAGGAAGUAAGCUCAGGCAGAAAUCUGACAUUAGGGCAUAGUAAGUUUCGGCAAGAAUCUAACUUUAGGCUAUAAUAGGGAAGUAGGGUAAGGUAGGAAUUUUAAUCUUAGGGUGCAACAAAAGAAGUAGACUUCAGGCAAGAUUUUUGGCUUGGACAAGGAAGUGAUCUUAAGUAUUUUGGUCAUUAUUACAAGCCCUUUUAAACAACUGUCAUGGGAGUAAUCACGGGACUUUGCUUACUGCCUUGCUAGUUCCUUAUUGUACUGCUCACCCUUAAUACUUGCAUGUAAUUAAAAUGGUAUAAAAAGAGGAUUGGG
ensembl:lincRNA 9830004L10Rik RIKEN cDNA 9830004L10 gene